AGCUGGCAGCCCUGCCAGUGGCAGGGAGACCAACAAGGGAUGCUCCGGGCUGCCCUGGGGGCCAUACCGAGCCCUCGUGGGUCACUGUGGCCUUGCAGAGCACUGACCCCUCAGCUCCCAAUCUUCCUUGGCUGUGACAUUAUGCCCUCCAGGCCGCUGUCCCUGUCCCCACCAUGUCCAGAUGGGUGCUGCUGGCACAGAGGGGCUGGCCCCUGCUCACGGUGGCUGCAGCUGGCAUGGGAAGCUCAGUCCAGCCCACGGCUGGAACACACCACAGACACAGCUGUGCUGCUCCAUCCCACACGGGGAGCAUGGCUGGGUAACACGGAGCCAAGUCCUUCCUUAGACACUCUUGCCUGCAGCAGCAAUGGGAAUAAAUCCAGGAGAAGCUGUUUUGGAUGGCUUGAGAAGCUGUAAAAUGUGAAGAAACAUUUGAAUGUGAGAUUCAAAUAGGUGAGGAGGGAACUCGGCACAGGAGGAGAUGCAAUUUAGAAGGAGAGGCCACGCCAUGCAUAUUUCAUGGGCCAGCCCUCAGCAGAGGCUCCUCUGACACCACCAACAUCACAGAUGGCAAGGAGUAACAGCAGCCACUCCCAGCAUCUGGGAAGGAGAACAGUGGGAUGAUUGUUCCUCCUGCCUCCUGGUAGAAGUGGGCCAGGACACAGAUCCUGGAAGCUGCUGGCUCUGCUCCCCGGGUGUGGGACCAGCCUUCCUCACCCUCUUCUUCCUCCAGCCCAGUGCCAGGCUAGGGGCAAGGCUGCCCCAUCCUUGGGGCUGGGGCUCUGUGCUCACUGUCCCACCGCUCUGUGAGCCUUCCAGCCCUGCUGCCCUAGCAUGCUGUGCUUCCAGCAUUGCUCCUCUGAGGUCUCCCUGGAGAGUGCUGGCUCAGGUCCUCCUCUGUCAGGUGUUUCUCACUGGCCAUGUGCCUGACUUGUGCCCAGCACCUGCACUACUAAAUCACUCCCAGCGCAGGCCAGCAUGCAGGAGGGACACCUGCAGCCUGUGGGAGCAGGGUGGAUCCUCAGCUGGCAUCUGGCUCUGCCUCAGGUGCCCCUGGACCAGCAGGUGCUGGGAUGGCAGGAGCUGGGUGGGUCAGAGUCUGAUGUGGAUUCACUGGCAAAACCCAGGAGAAGGUAGACUUCAGGACAGUGCUUCCCAAAUUGCAGCCACGAGUGGGUUCUUGUCUUGUAGGGGGUUACUUUUCUUCACAAGAGGCUUCAUCUCCCUCUGUGCCACUCUUCAGGGGGAACUCCAGCUCUACUACUGCCCACUCUGAGGGGAUAAACCCAUGUGGGGUGCAGGAGCUCCCAGCUCCUGUGGGUGUGUUUGGAUAAUGAGUUGGGGUGAAUCUCACUCGUGCCACAGUACGGACCACACUCUGGCAGCAGGAUGGAGGAACCAGCCUUCCUUCUCACAGCUGGGGAACCAGGGAACUGCAUCCUUCCCCUUGCACUUGGUGCUGCAGAGGCCACAGGAGUUCAGCUGCUCCAGCAGGAUUAGGGGUGGUCACUAUCCAGGUGUGGCACAGGCAGGUGAGGCUGCAGUGCUUGGUGUCCUGCCUCCAUGAGAGCAGAGUAGGAGUUUGGGAACUUGCUGGUCACCUGGGGAGUGACAGGGUGGGAGCUCCCUCUGGUUCCUGGGGCAUUCCUUUGGGCUGGGGGCCCUGGAGAGAGCAGCUGAGAGCUGCCACAGACUCUGCAGAGGAAAGAGAUGCUGGGUAGCUCCUCUUGCAGCUGAUCUCCUGGCCAGCCCAGACCUUGCUCUCCCAGCAUGGUUGGGAUUUUGAAAGCUGGGCUAUGUUCUGAUCCCUGGCAUUUUCCGCUUGCAUCCCAUUGAUUUUUGGUGAAUUGCUUGCAGCCCAAGAAAUAAAUGUCUUCUUGAUUCUUCCUGUGAGCUCCUGGGUGCAGCUCAGCAGCCAUGAGAAAAUAUCCAGGUGAAUUCCUGUCUCCAUAAAGGUCAAUGCUAUUGAAAAACCAAAUUGCCUCUGAAAGGGACCCAAGGAAAUAUCCAAGGCAGGGAAAGACACAUCAGACUUACCAUAUCAGUUAAUUGUUUCUUUGCAUAGAGUCUUUCUCUUUUUCCAUCCACUGGCAUAAGGGAGUCAUCUGAGAUGUCCGCAAGUGUGCUUGGGGGAAAAGGAACGCCAGCGAAGACCUGAAACAAUUUUGCUGCUCUUACAGCUGAGAAAGGAUCAUGCUGGAAGGUUUCUGUGGAAGUGGAGCCUGGGGAAUGGACAUGAAAAGCCUUUUUUUCCCAGCUGACUCCCUUGGUGGGCCAAAGUAAAUUUCUCUCAUUAGAGCUGCUGAUACAGCUGGAAGAAGAGAGCUCUCUCCAAAACUUCAUCUGCCAGUGAGGGGCAGCAUGACCCCAGAAAAUCUUGGGGUCUUUGGCUGCCUCAGCUUCUCGUCCCUCUGGCUGUGGCUCUUUGCACUGGAACUUUGAAAAAAAUUAUUCUGGGAUGGAAAAUUUCAAACCUAAAGGGUAAAGUUGGACAAAAUCCAGGUGAGGCUUGGCAGAGAGACCCGAUAAAGGUUGUUCCUUAUGCUGACGUUUUUGUUCUGUGCUUUGGAGAGCCUCCCUGCAGCUCUGAUCUGGCCAGGCCAGGCUCUGCUCGUGUAAGAGGUGAUGUUAACACCACCACGUGGGACUUCCUCUGGGUUUUCCCUAUUUAUUUAUUUUUUUUUUUUGUCUCUGGAGCUGUGAAUAUUUCAGAAGCAGACGCUGCCGUGGUCUUACACCCUGUGGGGAUGGCUGUCCCAUUAGCCCGCCCCGCUCCCAGAGGUGGCCCAGUGGCUUUGAUCUUCUGGCUGCCUAUCCACAGCAGAUGCUGCACAUCUGUGGUGGCACCAGAACACCCUGACACAGCCCAGCUAAAUCACCUGAUGGAAAUGGGGAGCUGGGAUCCUGUUGGAAACUGGAAACCAAAAGCAAAGAGCAGCUCUGUAUGUGUGCUGGCUCUGGAGUGCGCACGAGGGUGCUUUGAACAAGGGACAUGCUGGAGACUGCUGUGACUCCUCCCUCCUGUGAAUGCUUGCACUCAGGUCUCGCCAGAGCGUGCCAGCCCAUCCCUGCAAGGUUGGAGGAGCUCUGCAGAAGGACCUCCAUGGGCUGUGCUGAGUCCUGGGCUCCUCUGCAUCAGGAAGGACCCCACAGCACUCCGUGGGGUUGCCAUGGGUCGCUGAGAAAGUUCCCAGGUGCUGAGGCCAAAGGCCUCAAAAUUCAUCUGUGGAGAAGCAGGAAGAUUAGGUCUGAUUAAUUCCAAGGGUUUAAACCAUUUUCGUGUUACUAAAAAGAUGUCUUUUGCUCUAGUUUAAAAAAAAAAAAAAAAAAAAAAAAAAAGAGAAAGACAGCAAAUUCAAGGUUAAAAAAGCAAUUUGAAUAUGAGAGAUGAAUCUGCUUUGCCAUAAAUUUGGAGAAGUCGUCACCAAAUUUGAUGUGGGGUUGCUGUCUUCUCCUUCCCUCCAGGGAGCACUGUGGCAUCUCCUUUCCCCUGGAUUUUCCCCACUCCAGAGAGAACAGAUUUGUGUUUCUUACCCAGAAAAAGAAAUAAAGCUCCAACAACCUGCCUGUGCAGGUCUCUUGU